rnacentral:rRNA from 1 species
AUUGAACGCUGGCGGCAUGCUUUACACAUGCAAGUCGAACGGCAGCACGGGCUUCGGCCUGGUGGCGAGUGGCGAACGGGUGAGUAAUAUAUCGGAACGUACCCAGAAGUGGGGGAUAACGUAGCGAAAGUUACGCUAAUACCGCAUACGAUCUAUGGAUGAAAGCAGGGGACCGCAAGGCCUUGUGCUCCUGGAGCGGCCGAUAUCUGAUUAGCUAGUUGGUGAGGUAAAGGCUCACCAAGGCGACGAUCAGUAGCUGGUCUGAGAGGACGACCAGCCACACUGGAACUGAGACACGGUCCAGACUCCUACGGGAGGCAGCAGUGGGGAAUUUUGGACAAUGGGCGCAAGCCUGAUCCAGCAAUGCCGCGUGAGUGAAGAAGGCCUUCGGGUUGUAAAGCUCUUUUGUCAGGGAAGAAACGGUAGAGGCUAAUAGCCUUUGCUAAUGACGGUACCUGAAGAAUAAGCACCGGCUAACUACGU